rnacentral:rRNA from 1 species
AACGAACGCUGGCGGCAUGCCUAACACAUGCAAGUCGAACGAGACCUUCGGGUCUAGUGGCGCACGGGUGCGUAACGCGUGGGAAUCUGCCCUUGGGUUCGGAAUAACAGUUAGAAAUGACUGCUAAUACCGGAUGAUGUCUUCGGACCAAAGAUUUAUCGCCCAGGGAUGAGCCCGCGUAGGAUUAGCUAGUUGGUGGGGUAAAGGCCUACCAAGGCGACGAUCCUUAGCUGGUCUGAGAGGAUGAUCAGCCACACUGGGACUGAGACACGGCCCAGACUCCUACGGGAGGCAGCAGUGGGGAAUAUUGGACAAUGGGCGAAAGCCUGAUCCAGCAAUGCCGCGUGAGUGAAGAAGG